rnacentral:rRNA from 1 species
GGAAGUAAAAGUCGUAACAAGGUUUCCGUAGGUGAACCUGCGGAAGGAUCAUUAUUGAAGUCUGGUUGUUGCUGGCCUUUCUUGGGGCAUGUGCACGCCUUAUUCAAACCCACCUGUGCACCUUUUGUAGACUUGUGUUUGUCUACCGAUAAUUAUUUACUCCCGUAUUCAGAAUGUAUUGAUUGGCCUCAGUGCCUUUAAUCAAAUAAUACAACUUUCAGCAACGGAUCUCUUGGCUCUCGCAUCGAUGAAGGACGCAGCGAAACGCGAUAAGUAAUGUGAAUUGCAGACACGUGAAUCAUCGAAUCUUUGAACGCACCUUGCGCUCCUUGGUGAUCUGAGGAGCAUGCCUGUUUGAGUGUCAUUAAAUUCUCAACCUAACCAGCUUUUGUGAGCUGGGAUAUAGGCUUGGAUUGUGGGGGCUUUGCUGGCUUCAACCAAAGUCAGCUCCCCUUAAACGCAUUAGUGGAACGAUUUUGUUGACCUUGUUCCUGGUGUGAUAAAACCUUUAUCACCACCGUGUGCAGUCAGCUUACUCUGCUUCUAACAACGUUUAUUAAACUCUUGACCAUUUGACCUCAAAUCAGGUAGGACUACCCGCUGAACUUAAGCAUAUCAAUAAGCGGAGGAA